AACUGGUCGAGAGCUGAUGCCACUCUUCUGAUGAGGCCCUAGCAAGCCGAAACUAGUU
rnacentral:hammerhead_ribozyme from 1 species